rnacentral:rRNA from 1 species
UACGAAGGGGGCUAGCGUUGCUCGGAAUCACUGGGCGUAAAGCGCACGUAGGCGGGUUCUUAAGUCAGGGGUGAAAUCCUGGAGCUCAACUCCAGAACUGCCUUUGAUACUGGGAAUCUCGAGUCCGGGAGAGGUGAGUGGAACUGCGAGUGUAGAGGUGAAAUUCGUAGAUAUCGUGAGGAAGACCAGUGGCGAAGGCGGAUCUCUGGACAGCUCCUGACGCUGAGGCGCGAAGGCUAGGGGAGCAAACGGG